AGAGUUUGAUCCUGGCUCAGAAUCAACGCUGGCGGCGUGCCUAACACAUGCAAGUCGAACGCGAAGGAAGUCUUCGGACUUCUGGAGAGUGGCGCACGGGUGAGUAACACGUGGGUAAUCUGCCUUUGGGUGGGGAAUAACGAUCCGAAAGGGUCGCUAAUACCGCAUAACGCAGCGGCACCGCAUGGUGACAGUUGUUAAAGGGGGGGAUCGAAAGACCUCUCGCCUGAAGAGGAGCCCGCGUCCGAUUAGCUAGUUGGUGAGGUAACGGCUCACCAAGGCAUCGAUCGGUAGCCGGCCUGAGAGGGCGGUCGGCCACACUGGCACUGAGACACGGGCCAGACUCCAACGGGAGACAGCAGUGGGGAAUUUUGGGCAAUGGGCGAAAGCCUGACCCAGCAACGCCGCGUGAAGGAUGAAAUCCCUCUGGGAUGUAAACUUCGAAAGUCGGGAAAGAAAUCGCCAUAGAGAAUACCUGUGGUGGAUGACGGUACCCGACGUAAGCCCCGGCUAACUACGUGC
rnacentral:rRNA from 1 species